CCCUUAGAUGUUCUGGGCCGCACGCGCGCUACACUGACGAAGUCAGCGAACAUGUCCUACGCCGACAGGUGCGGGGAAUCUUGUCAAACUUCGUCGUGAUGGGGAUUGAUUAUUGAAAUUCUUGAUCAUCAACGAGGAAUUCCUAGUAAGCGCAAGUCAGCAGCUUGCGUUGAUUACGUCCCUGCCCUUUGUACACACCGCCCGUCGCUACUACCGAUUGAAUGGUUUAGUGAGAUCUUCGGAUUGGCGCCACUGCGGCUCAGCAAUGGGCUCGGUGGAUGCCGAAAAGUUGAUCAAACUUGAUCAUUUAGAGGAAGUAAAAGUCGUAACA
rnacentral:rRNA from 1 species